rnacentral:rRNA from 1 species
GACGAACGCUGGCGGCGUGCUUAACACAUGCAAGUCGAACGUGAUUUUUGUGGAAAUUCUUUCGGGAAUGGAAAUGAAAUGAAAGUGGCGAACGGGUGAGUAACACGUGAGCAACCUACCUUACACAGGGGGAUAGCCGUUGGAAACGACGAUUAAUACCGCAUGAGACCACAGAAUCGCAUGAUAUAGGGGUCAAAGAUUUAUCGGUGUAAGAAGGGCUCGCGUCUGAUUAGCUAGUUGGAAGGGUAAAGGCCUACCAAGGCGACGAUCAGUAGCCGGUCUGAGAGGAUGAACGGCCACAUUGGAACUGAGACACGGUCCAAACUCCUACGGGAGGCAGCAGUGGGGAAUAUUGCACAAUGGGGGGAACCCUGAUGCAGCGACGCCGCGUGAGCGAAGAAGGUUUUCGAAUCGUAAAGCUCUGUCCUAUGAGAAGAUAAUGACGGUAUCAUAGGAGGAAGCCCCGGCUAAAUACGUGCCAGCAGCCGCGGUAAUACGUAUGGGGCGAGCGUUGUCCGGAAUUAUUGGGCGUAAAGGGUACGUAGGCGGUUUUUUAAGUCAGGUGUGAAAGCGUGAGGCUUAACCUCAUUAGGCACUUGAAACUGGAAGACUUGAGUGAAGGAGAGGAAAGUGGAAUUCCUAGUGUAGCGGUGAAAUGCGUAGAUAUUAGGAGGAAUACCGGUGGCGAAGGCGACUUUCUGGACUUUUACUGACGCUCAGGUACGAAAGCGUGGGGAGCAAACAGG